ACGGAAGUAGCUCAGUUGGUUGCCUUUAAUCCUACGGAUUAAAGGACAUUAGCCUUCCAAGCUGAGGGUCGCGGGUUUGAGUCCCGUCUUCCGCU
rfam:Bacteroides coprocola DSM 17136 Scfld_02_63 genomic scaffold, whole genome shotgun sequence.